rnacentral:rRNA from 1 species
AUUGAACGCUGGCGGCAUGCCUUACACAUGCAAGUCGAACGGUAACGCGGGGCAACCUGGCGACGAGUGGCGAACGGGUGAGUAAUAUAUCGGAACGUGCCCAGUAGUGGGGGAUAGCCCGGCGAAAGCCGGAUUAAUACCGCAUACGACCUACGGGUGAAAGCGGGGGAUCGCAAGACCUCGCGCUAUUGGAGCGGCCGAUAUCAGAUUAGGUAGUUGGUGGGGUAAAGGCCUACCAAGCCUACGAUCUGUAGCUGGUCUGAGAGGACGACCAGCCACACUGGGACUGAGACACGGCCCAGACUCCUACGGAGGCAGCAGUGGGAAUUUUGGACAAUGGGCGCAAGCCUGAUCCAGCCAUGCCGCGUGCGG